rnacentral:rRNA from 1 species
UACGGGGGGGGCAAGCGUUGUUCGGAAUUACUGGGCGUAAAGGGUGCGUAGGCGGCUUUCUAAGUCGGAUGUGAAAACUCUGGGCUCAACCCAGAGCCUGCAUCCGAAACUGGAGAGCUAGAGUUCUGGAGAGGAAAGCGGAAUUCCUGGUGUAGCGGUGAAAUGCGUAGAUAUCAGGAGGAACACCGGUGGCGAAGGCGGCUUUCUGGACAGAUACCGACGCUGAGGCACGAAAGCUAGGGGAGCAAACAGG